rnacentral:snRNA from 1 species
AUCGCUUCUCGGCCUUUUGGCUAAGAUCAAGUGUAGAAAUUAUUCAAUAUUCAGUGACAUAAAUUCCCUGAAAAAUUCAGUGAUAAUUAGCUACUGUUAAACUUAUACACGCAACUCUUGGACAAAUCUUGUUAUCGCAAAGCAAAGAAAUGUUGUUAGCAUAACAAUAGUGUUGGUCCAUCAUCACUCAUU